AGGGAAUCUUCCGCAAUGGGCGAAAGCCUGACGGAGCAACGCCGCGUGAGUGAAGAAGGUCUUCGGAUCGUAAAACUCUGUUAUUAGGGAAGAACAAAUGUGUAAGUAACUAUGCACGUCUUGACGGUACCUAAUCAGAAAGCCACGGCUAACUACGUGCCAGCAGCCGCGGUAAUACGUAGGUGGCAAGCGUUAUCCGGAAUUAUUGGGCGUAAAGCGCGCGUAGGCGGUUUUUUAAGUCUGAUGUGAGAGCCCACGGCUCAACCGUGGAGGGUCAUUGGAAACUGGAAAACUUGAGUGCAGAAGAGGGAAGUGGAAUUCCAUGUGUAGCGGUGAAAUGCGCAGAGAUAUGGAGGAACACCAGUGGCGAAGGCGACUUUCUGGUCUGUAACUGACGCUGAUGUGCGAAAGCGUGGGGAUCAAACAGGAUUAGAUACCCUGGUAGUCCACGCCGUAAACGAUGAGUGCUAAGUGUUAGGGGGUUUCCGCCCCUUAGUGCUGCAGCUAACGCAUUAAGCACUCCGCCUGGGGAGUACGACCGCAAGGUUG
rnacentral:rRNA from 1 species